rnacentral:rRNA from 1 species
GGGGACCUUCGGGCCUCUUGCCAUCGGAUGUGCCCAGAUGGGAUUAGCUAGUAGGUGGGGUAACGGCUCACCUAGGCGACGAUCCCUAGCUGGUCUGAGAGGAUGACCAGCCACACUGGAACUGAGACACGGUCCAGACUCCUACGGGAGGCAGCAGUGGGGAAUAUUGCACAAUGGGCGCAAGCCUGAUGCAGCCAUGCCGCGUGUAUGAAGAAGGCCUUCGGGUUGUAAAGUACUUUCAGCGGGGAGGAAGGGAGUAAAGUUAAUACCUUUGCUCAUUGACGUUACCCGCAGAAGAAGCACCGGCUAACUCCGUGCCAGCAGCCGCGGUAAUACGGAGGGUGCAAGCGUUAAUCGGAAUUACUGGGCGUAAAGCGCACGCAGGCGGUUUGUUAAGUCAGAUGUGAAAUCCCCGGGCUCAACCUGGGAACUGCAUCUGAUACUGGCAAGCUUGAGUCUCGUAGAGGGGGGUAGAAUUCCAGGUGUAGCGGUGAAAUGCGUAGAGAUCUGGAGGAUACCGGUGGC